AAGUCGUAACAAGGUUUCCGUAGGUGAACCUGCGGAAGGAUCAUUUUCGAACAAAAACUUUAUAUCCACCCACUGUGUGAAUUGUUUUGGGUUAUACCUUUACUCUUUUCGGCCACUUUUAGACUUUCCUUUCGAGGAAAGACGACUGUGGUUGAGAAGAGGCCAUUAUGAACUACCUUGUCACAAAGGUCGAUUAAAAUUUUUUUCUUACAAAAAAAAAAAUUAUAUGACAACUUUUAACGGUGGAUCUCUUGGCUCGU
rnacentral:misc_RNA from 1 species